rnacentral:rRNA from 1 species
GACGAACGCUGGCGGCGCGCUUAACACAUGCAAGUCGAGCGAAGCGGCGGACGGGUGAGUAACACGUGAGUAACCUGCCUUAGACAUUGGGAUAGCCUCGGGAAACCGGGAUUAAUACCAAAUGGUCUAAGAUGGACUCGCGUCCCAUUAGCUCGUUGGUGAGGUAACGGCCCACCAAGGAGACGAUGGGUGGCCGGCGUGGGAGGGUGAGCGGCCACAUUGGAACUGAGAAACGGUCCAGACUCUACGGGAGGCAGAAGGGGGGAAUAGUGCACAAUGGAGGGAACUCUGAUGCAGCGACGCCGCGUGAACGAAGAAGGCUUUCGAGUCGUAAAGUGUAUGUAUAUGGGAAGCGGUACCAUAAGAAAAAGCCCCGGCUAACUACGUGCCAGCCGCCGCGGUAAUUC